UACAGAGGUCUCAAGCGUUGUUCGGAUUCAUUGGGCGUAAAGGGUGCGUAGGUGGCGUCGUAAGUCAGGUGUGAAAUCUCGGGGCUCAACCCCGAAACUGCACUUGAUACUGCGAUGCUCGAGUGCUGGAGAGGAGAUUGGAAUUUACGGUGUAGCAGUGAAAUGCGUAGAUAUCAAGAGGAACACCUGCGGCGAAGGCGGGUUGCUGGGCCGACACUGACGCUGAGGCGCGAAAGCCAGGGGAGCGAACGGG
rnacentral:rRNA from 1 species